rnacentral:lncRNA from 1 species
GAAAAUUCCCUUGCCUCGGAUUGUUCUUCGUCCUUCCUUUCUCUGUCAGAAAGAAAGGAAAAACCCUAAUAUUUUUCAUUUUGUAAAUUCUGGAGAAAUGGUUGAUGUAGCCGAUAAAUUGGCAUGUUUUCAAGCGGUGACGGGCCUCGAAGAUCCCGAUUUGUGUACGGAAAUCCUCCAGGCUCAUGGUUGGGACCUCGAACUGGCUAUCUCUUCUUUCACCUCUUCCAAUCAAUCCUCUGCUUCCACCAUUACCUCCGAUUCUGACCCUCGCGAUUCUCUUGACCCCACCCAAUACGCAUCCAGUUCGGGUCUCGUUCCCGCUCCUAACCCCAGCAUAGCUUGG